UAUAUCGAAUUCAAUGUAUUAUUUGCUAACAAUUUCGUGCCACAAUUCUUUCUUGGAGAUUUACUUCCUAAUUGUAGAAAUCCCGAUAAUGCAGAAUAAAAGGCGCUCAAUAUCUAUACGAAGCAGUAGUGUUAUAAUUAACAAAUCGCAGACAAUGUUUUAAAGACCUACUCUGAUGACGAAUUGCUUCUUAACGUAGAAAAAUCCUCCAAUAGAUAAACCAAUUGGACGUCUUCCGAAUCUUUUCAUGAAAUUCAACAUCUGCAGAAGAGAAAAAGAAUUUAUCAUUUCACAUUCUUAAACAGAACUGAAGAGUUGGAGGAACUUUUUUAUUCUCACUUUCAACUUGUCUUGUAAUGAACAUUCGACCGAAGAAAACACGUUGAUUCCUUCAAAGUUUCCGUAAAGCUCAAUCAAGCGAGACGUAAUAUAAGCCACGAACACUGAAACUAAAAUAAAAAGUACGCUUGUUAAUAACAUGUGAAGUUUCCAAGAUACGUCAGUAGAUAUCGCUGUAUAUAUAGAAAAGGAUGUCGUGUAAAUAAUGAAACUGUAUAAAAGAGGAAAAGGGAUUUCCAAAAUGUCAUUUAUGUGAUAAAAACAAUGUAAAAUAUCCGUAUGUUUCGGUAUUACUUCAUACAGUAUAACAGUUACUCGUGUACGACGUUCGGUGAUGCGACUAACAAUUUCGCAUAGAGCCGGAUAAAGAAACAUUUCAAAGAAUGUACAAAAUAUUAAUGACGACAUUACCAGCCCGCUGCAGAAUAUUAUCCCUAUUAAUUCAAUUUGCCGCAACAGAGUGACUUCUCCAGCGUAAGUACUCAUCCUGUACGAGAAAUUAAUUUUUCUUCUUUUGAAAAUACUAAACUGUACAGCGGAAUGUGCAUAAAAUAACAUAAAUAGGCAUCUAAGUUGAACGAAUUCGUCUCCGAACAGAAUUAUCCAAUCUCGACAUAUAACAUCUCUUUUCAGAACAUCGAACGUGAAUCUUAUAAUAGCGAGUAACCAGAGUAAUUCUAUUAUAUUCAAGUAAACUUUAUAGGAUUUACAGAAAAGGUUCUCGAGUCUUCGUCCAUAAACGGCUCUAUCUUUAUAACAGUUACAGUUGGAUAUAAUAUUAAAUCCGAGUACUUUAUAGGACUGUAUGAAGGGAAAGAUCAGACAUACAGGACAGCCGUUAUAUAACCGAUUAUCCAUUUCUAAUUAGAGAAAGUCUUAAUAAAAUACAGCUUAAUGUUCGUAUAUUCGGCGACCGAGGAAGUAAUUUUAAAGAUGGCAAUGCACGAAGAUGCUGUUUGCCACGAAUCUCAAUUAAGUCUAUCGAGAGAAUGCGGAAUAUUCUUAGUUUUAAUGGGAAACGAAUCGAUUUAAUUUCGAAAUUAAUUGAAAAAUUCGAAAAACGUCACGAAUUUUAUCAUAAAGCUUACGAAGUUAUCCUUUCGGAGAAAAAUUUGCAGAUUUGUCCCGUUCCCAUAAAGGAAUGGCUUCGGACGUAACAAAUGUUAAACGCAAUCAACCAGGCAGUGGUAGACCUAAAUUUUGAGGCUCUUGUAAAACAUUUCUUGCAUCUAUGUAAAAUGAAAAUGAAAUGAAUGAGUGAUUUUGUUAUAAAGAGUAAAGGAAUCGGUGUAAUGAGAGAUGUUAUAAAGAAAAUUAUAGAUGGAACAGAAAACACGAAGGAGAAGGCUAUCAGAAUUGUAUGAUAUUAAAGACGGUGUGAGAUUUUUGGAGCAAAAAGCUAAGACGAGAGAUAGCGAGCGACGGAGAAGAGAAUAGAGUUAUAUUCCAAGGAGUUUUCACGACAACGAAACACUAGGGAGAAAGAGAAUUAGUGUACUUCAUACUCGGAUUAUGUUUUUAAUACUUCUUUUAUACGACAAUCCUCGAUAAUAAUUUAGUC